UACGUAGGUGGCGAGCGUUAUCCGGAAUUACUGGGUGUAAAGGGAGCGUAGACGGUAAUGUAAGUCUGGAGUGAAAGGCGGGGGCCCAACCCCCGGACUGCUCUGGAAACUAUGUUACUAGUGUGCAGGAGAGGUAAGCGGAAUUCCUAGUGUAGCGGUGAAAUGCGUAGAUAUUAGGAGGAACACCAGUGGCGAAGGCGGCUUACUGGACUGUAACUGACGUUGAGGCUCGAAAGCGUGGGGAGCAAACAGG
rnacentral:rRNA from 1 species